UCGUCUAUAUACGUAUAGCAUAUCAAUAAGCGGAGGAAAAGAAACUAACUAGGAUUCCCUCAGUAACGGCGAGUGAAGCGGGAAGAGCUCAAAUUUGAAAUCUUCAAGGUUCUACCUUGACGAAUUGUAGUUUAAAGAAGUGUUUUCUGUUGGAGUUUUGGUAAAAGUUCUUUGGAAUAGGACAUCAUAGAGGGUGAGAAUCCCGUAUUUGACCAUUAUUUCCAACUUUGUGAUACACUUUCAAAGAGUCGGAUUGUUUGGGAAUGCAGUCCAAAAUGGGUGGUAAAUUUCAUCUAAAGCUAAAUACUGGCGAGAGACCGAUAGCGAACAAGUACCGUGAGGGAAAGAUGAAAAGAACUUUGAAAAGAGAGUUAAACAGUACGUGAAAUUGUCAAAAGGGAAGCGUUUGACACCAGUGUUGUUUUCUCGAAAAUCAAUUAAAAAUGGCGGGAUUUUGUGUUGUAUUGACUUUAUCAGCUUUCUGCACUUUUUUCUUGUCUUUUUUAAUGCACUUUUCGUUUAACAAGUCAACAUCAAUUUCUUUUGUUGUAAAAGGGUCAUUGGAAGGUGGCUUUCUUUUCGGAGAAAGUGUUUAUAGCCUUUGACUUCUGCAAUCGGAGAGAUUGAGGUCUGCAGCGUAGAUCCUUCGGGGUUAGAUGACAUUUGUGCUAAGUUAUAGCCUUUCAUAGACAACUUGUUGACUAUGAUCAGUCAUGUAGCUUACUCGCUUAUGUUAUUUUACCUACGCUUAGGAUGUUGACGAUCAGCUGAGCGCG
rnacentral:rRNA from 1 species